rnacentral:tRNA from 1 species
AGCCGCUAUGGUGAAAUCGGUAGACACACUGCUCUUAGGAAGCAGUGCUAGAGCUUCUCGGUUCGAGUCCGAGUGGCGGCAUGCCAUCUUCU